GGAAUAUUGGUCAAUGGACGCAAGUCUGAACCAGCCAUGCCGCGUGGAGGAUGAAGGUCCUCUGGAUUGUAAACUUCUUGUAUCUGGGAAGAAAUCCAUAUUUUCUAAUGUGGUUGACGGUACCAGAUGAAUAAGCACCGGCUAACUACGUGCCAGCAGCCGCGGUAAUACGGAGGGUGCAAGCGUUAUCCGGAUUCACUGGGUUUAAAGGGUGCGUAGGCGGACAAGUAAGUCAGUGGUGAAAUCUCUGGGCUUAACUCAGAAACUGCCGUUGAUACUAUUUGUCUUGAAUAUCAUGGAGGUAAGCGGAAUAUGUCAUGUAGCGGUGAAAUGCUUAGAUAUGACAUAGAACACCGAUAGCGAAGGCAGCUUACUACAUGUUAAUUGACGCUGAGGCACGAAAGCGUGGGGAGCAAA
rnacentral:rRNA from 1 species